rnacentral:rRNA from 1 species
CCUACGGGUGGCAGCAGUGGGGAAUAUUGGACAAUGGGCGAAAGCCUGAUCCAGCCAUGCCGCGUGUGUGAAGAAGGCCUUCGGGUUGUAAAGCACUUUCAGUGGGGAAGAAAGCCUUGGGGCUAAUACCCUCGAGGAAGGACAUCACCCACAGAAGAAGCACCGGCUAACUCCGUGCCAGCAGCCGCGGUAAUACGGAGGGUGCGAGCGUUAAUCGGAAUUACUGGGCGUAAAGCGCGCGUAGGCGGUCUGAUAAGCCGGUUGUGAAAGCCCCGGGCUCAACCUGGGAACGGCAUCCGGAACUGUCAGGCUAGGGGGCAGGAGAGGAAGGGAGAAUUCCCGGGGUAGCGGUGAAAUGCGUAGAGAUCGGGAGGAAUACCAGUGGCGAAGGCGGCCUUCUGGACUGACACUGACGCUGAGGUGCGAAAGCGUGGGUAGCAAACAGGAUUAGAUACCCUAGAGUC